rnacentral:rRNA from 1 species
AACGAACGCUGGCGGCAGGCUUAACACAUGCAAGUCGAGCGCCCCGCAAGGGGAGCGGCAGACGGGUGAGUAACGCGUGGGAACGUACCCUUUACUACGGAAUAGCUCCGGGAAACUGGAAUUAAUACCGUAUGUGCCCUUCGGGGGAAAGAUUUAUCGGUAAAGGAUCGGCCCGCGUUGGAUUAGCUAGUUGGUGGGGUAAAGGCCUACCAAGGCGACGAUCCAUAGCUGGUCUGAGAGGAUGAUCAGCCACAUUGGGACUGAGACACGGCCCAAACUCCUACGGGCGGCAGCAGUGGGGAAUAUUGGACAAUGGGCGCAAGCCUGAUCCAGCCAUGCCGCGUGAGUGAUGAAGGCCUUAGGGUUGUAAAGCUCUUUCACCGAUGAAGAUAAUGACGGUAGUCGGAGAAGAAGCCCCGGCUAACUUCGUGCCAGCAGCCGCAGUAUAC